GACGAACGCUGGCGGCGUGCUUAACACAUGCAAGUCGAACGGAAAGGCCCUGCUUUUGUGGGGUGCUCGAGUGGCGAACGGGUGAGUAACACGUGAGUAACCUGCCCUUGACUUUGGGAUAACUUCAGGAAACUGGGGCUAAUACCGGGUAGGAGCUCCUGCUGCAUGGUGGGGGUUGGAAAGUUUCGGCGGUUGGGGAUGGACGCGCGGCUUAUCCGCUUGUUGGUGGGGUAGUGGCUUACGAAGGCUUCGACGGGUAGCCGGCCUGAGAGGGUGACCGGCCACAUUGGUACUGAGAUACGGCCCAGACUCCUACGGGAGGCAGCAGUGGGGAAUAUUGCACAAUGGGCGGAAGCCUGAUGCAGCAACGCCGCGUGCGGGAUGACGGCCUUCGGGUUGUAAACCGCUUUCGCCGGUGACGAAGCGUGAGUGACGGUAAUGGGUAAAGAAGCACCGGCUAACUACGUG
rnacentral:rRNA from 1 species